UGUUGCUAAAGCUGCUUCAAUUUCUUCACAAAUAUGUCUGUGCUGGCAAGAUGCAAGCUGCCUGUCACAGCAGUCUCACUGCACCACGGCUAUAUGGCACAGCUGACUUCUUAUCCCCUUGCUCCUGUGAAGAAAGGGACUUUUGCUGAUUAGAAAUAAUAAUUGAAUUGUUGGAAUCUGGAGGAGUCCCAGCAGAAGACCAUCCUUGCUGGGAAUCCACAGGAAAUGGGUGGCUGGAGGUAUCUCACUACCUUCUGAAAACAUGUCAGUUGUGUAUUAUCUGCUCUUUCAGCAGGUGGUGCUUAUACAAUGAGUAGCCUUACAUGGAGCGUGGGAGGGCAGAUUGAGUGAGGAGUGGUAAUGCUGAUUUGACAUACUUGAAAAUGCUCAAUCAACUUGUUGGAGUCUUUCACGAUCAGGUCUAGUGUGACACGGAAUGCCAGGGGAGCCAAGGGGAGAGAAACAGAUGCCAAAGUCUGGAUUAUACAUCCCCCCUGCUCCCCGCGCCCCCCCCAAAAGGGGCAAUAUAAGCAAAUGCAAUAAACAAAGAACUUAAUUUUCUGUUAA